GCAAGUCGAACGGAUCCUUCGGGAUUAGUGGCGGACGGGUGAGUAACACGUGGGAACGUGCCCUUUGGUUCGGAACAACUCAGGGAAACUUGAGCUAAUACCGGAUGUGCCCUUCGGGGGAAAGAUUUAUCGCCAUUGGAGCGGCCCGCGUAGGAUUAGCUAGUUGGUGGGGUAAAGGCCCACCAAGGCUACGAUCCUUAGCUGGUCUGAGAGGAUGAUC
rnacentral:rRNA from 1 species